rnacentral:rRNA from 1 species
GACGAACGCUGGCGGCGCGCUUAACACAUGCAAGUCGAGCGAAGCGGCGGACGGGUGAGUAACACGUGAGUAACCUGCCUUAGACAUUGGGAUAGCCUCGGGAAACCGGGAUUAAUACCAAAUGGUCUAAGAUGGACUGGCGUCCCAUUAGCUGGUUGGGAGGUAACGGCCCACCAAGGCGACGAAGGGUAGCCGGCCUGAGAGGCUGAACGGCAACAUUGGAACUGGGAAACGGUCCAAACUCUACGGGAUGGAGGAGUGGGGAAUAUUGCACAACGGAGGGAACGCAGAUGCAGCGAGGCUGCGUGAACGAAGAAGGUUUUCGAGUCGUAAAGUUCUUUUAUAUGGGAAGCGGUACCAUAAGAAAAAGCCCCGGCUAACUACGUGCCAGCAGCCGCGGUAAUUC